rnacentral:rRNA from 1 species
GACGAACGCUGGCGGCGUGCUUAACACAUGCAAGUCGAACGGUAACGCCAUGCUUUUGUGGGGUGCUCGAGUGGCGAACGGGCGAGUAACAAGUGAGUAACCUGCCCUUGACUUUGGGAUAACUUCAGGAAACUGGGGCUAAUAACGGAUCGGAGCUUCUGCUGCCUGGUGGGGGUUGGAAAGUUUCGGCGGGUGGGGAUGGACUCGCGGCUUAUCAGCUUGUUGGUGGGGUAGUGGCUUACCACGGCUUUGACGGGUAGCCGGCCUGAGAGGGUGACCGGCCACAUUGGGACUGAGAGACGGCCCAGACUCCUACGGGGGGCAGCAGUGGGGAAUAUGGCGCAAUGGGCGGAAGCCUAAGGCAGCAACGCCGCGGGCGUGAUGAAGGCUUUCGGGUGGGAAACCGCUUUCGCCUGUGACGAAGCGUGAGUGACGGUAAUGGGUAAAGAAGCACCGGCUAACUACGUG